UAUUUUUUUAUUUUAAAUUAACUUUUUUAAUAUUAUAUUAAAAAUAAUUUUUUAUAAAAAAAUUUUAUUUUAAUAUAUUUUCAAAUAAUAUUUUAAAAAAUAAUUAUUAUCUUAAUAUCCACGGCGAACAAAUGUUGAAACGAUUCAGGCUUGAAUUCCCCUUCUCUUCAAGUUCAAGUUCAAGAUCCAAUAUCAAUAAUGAUUCUUUGUUUCCUUUCUUCUUCUUCUUCUUCUUCUUCUCCAGACGCUUGAGUUCCCUGUCUUGUCAUCAACGAAUUUCUUAUAUAUAUAUUAUCUAACAGUUCUCUUGUGCUGUGUAGUUGUGGAGUAUUAAUGCAGAAUAAUGCAACUUCAGCCCCCCCAUUAGCUGACGAGGAGGAAGAAAGUUAGGUGAAAAAAAAUGUUGUGGAAUCUGAUGAAUUGAAGAACAUGCAUGCUGUUACAACAAUGAUACUCCAUUGUGGAUGAGAUGAGUCACUCAUCUAUCAUACACGUUUCUCAGGCCACCUUGAAUGCUGGGAGUGGCUCUCCUGGAUUUUCACAUGAUCUUAAUUGGGUUCUAGCUAGAAAAGGUGUUACUGUGAAGGAUAAAAAGCCUUUAGAAACUUGAGUCAUCUUGAGCUGCAACAGAAAGGUGCAAUUGCAGCAGGCGGUGAACUUCAACGCAUACUGUUACUAUUUCCAAUGAUCUUUCUUUAUACUCCAUCACUGUGUUUGUCUUAUUUCUUUAUUUUUUUCAUUUGUUUCUCCUUUCUUUUGGAAUCUUUGUCAGGAGUUCCCAUUCAUGUUAGGGGGAGUCUUCUUGGGAGAGCUUCCGAAAUUUCCAAGCCAUAAUUCAGUAAACUUCUCAAA